rnacentral:rRNA from 1 species
AUGCGUCUCAGUUUUCCUGCUGAUAUGCACAUCAACCCGGAAGCAGAAGCCCUUCUCCGAUGGAAAUCCACUUUGAUUGGCAGCACCAAGUCACUAUCCUCAUGGUCGAUUGCAACCUCUACCUGCUCUUGGUUCGGCGUCACCUGUGAUGCUGCCGGACAUGUUACCGAGCUCCACCUUCCCGACGCGGGGCUCCAUGGUACGCUUCAUGCCUUCUACUCUGCAGCGUUCCAAACCCUCACUGUGCUCGACCUUUACAACAACAACCUUGUUGGCGCUGUCCCAGCAAACAUCUCCCUAUUUCUCACACUUACCGUUCUUGACUUGAGCCGUAACAAUCUUGUUGGUGCCAUCCCCUACCAACUCAGUCACCUCCCAAAGAUUGUUAAGUUAGAUUUGGGAAAUAACCACUUGAGCAACCCAGAAUAUGCCAACUUCUUACCUAUGUCCAGUUUGAAGUUGUUAUCUCUAGCUAAUAAUAAUCUCAGUGGUGCCUUCCCACAAUUCAUUAUCAACUCCACGAAUGUGGGGAUGAGAUCCCUCGAUUUAUCUGGUAACACCUUCUCAGGGCCGUUACCAAAUUCACUGCCAGAGAUGGUCCCAAGGUUGAGGUGCCUGAAUCUAUCCGCUAAUGGAUUCUUUGGCUCGAUAUCUCACUCGUUCUCAAGGCUCCAAAAGCUCGAGACACUACGUCUCGAGAAUAAUAAUCUCACAGGAGGAAUUCCAGAGGAGCUUGGUAUGAUGUCUGCACUACGAUGGCUGAUCCUUGGCAACAACCCACUUGGCGGGUCAAUCCCUGCCUCACUCGGGCAGCUCCAUUCCCUCCAGUAUCUCUACAUAAAUGAUGCUGAUUUGGUUUCUACUCUUCCACCUGAGCUGGGGAACCUUACUAGUCUCGAGUACAUGUUCCUGAAAGGGAAUCAUUUAUUUGGAAGCUUGCCACCAUCAUUUGCCAGGGUGCAAACAAUGGUGUAUUUCAGUGUAGGGGGCAACAAUAUCAAUGGUACCAUCCCCUCAGAGAUGUUUACGAACUGGACAAACCUUAAGUACUUCAAUGUUGCAAACAACUUGUUGGUUGGAAGCAUCCCAUCGCAGCUCAGGGUGCAAAGAAUGGUCUAUUUCAGUGUAGGGGACAACAAUAUCAACGGUACCAUCCCCUCAGAGAUGUUUACGAACUUGACAAACCUUAUGUACUUCAAUGUUACAAACAACUUGUUAGCUGGAAGCAUCCCAUCGCAGGUCAGCAACUCCGAGGCGUUAUUUCUUCUCAGCCUCUCUGGAAACAACUUUACUGGCUCGAUCCCGGUGGAGAUGGGAAACAUGGUAAACUUGGAAUCGCUGGAUUUGGCCAAGAAUCACCUUACUGGAACAAUACCACCUACCAUCGGCAAUUUAACAAAGUUGCGCUUACUUGACAUCAGUGACAACCGUCUCGAGGGCAGUCGACGAUUAUUAAUGUGUCCGACAACAACAACAGCGUCUUUGGAGAAUCAUUGUCUGCCUAUUGUAACCUAA